CUGCAGCCCGAGUAGUGAUCGAUUUUAUUGAGCCUAAAGCGUCCGUAGCCGGACUAGUAAACCCUUGGGUAAAUUGGGCAGCUUAACUGUCCAAAUUCCGAGGGGACUGCUAGUCUUGGGACCGGGAGAGGUCAGAGGUACUCCAGGGGUAGGGGCUAAAUCCUGUAAUCCUUGGGGGACCACCAGUGGCGAAGGCGUCUGACUAGAACGGAUCCGACGGUAAGGGACGAAACCCUGGGGCGCGAACCGGAUUAGAUACCCGAGUAGUCC
rnacentral:rRNA from 1 species